rnacentral:tRNA from 1 species
GAGGGUAUAGCUCAGCGAUAGAGUACUUGCUUAGCAUGCACAAGGUCCUGAGUUCAAUUCCUGGUACCUCCA